rnacentral:rRNA from 1 species
UACGUAGGGUGCAAGCGUUGUCCGGAUUUAUUGGGCGUAAAGAGCUCGUAGGCGGUUCGAUAAGUCGGACGUGAAAUCUCCACGCUCAACGUGGAGGGGCCGUUCGAUACUGUCGUGACUCGAGUCCGGUAGGGGAGUGUGGAAUUCCCGGUGUAGCGGUGAAAUGCGCAGAGAUCGGGAGGAACACCCGUAGCGAAGGCGACUACCUGGCCUGUUCUUGACGCUGAGGCGCGAAAGCUAGGGGAGCAAACGGG